GAUGAACGCUGGCGGCGUGCCUAAUACAUGCAAGUCGAGCGAACGGACGAGAAGCUUGCUUCUCUGAUGUUAGCGGCGGACGGGUGAGUAACACGUGGAUAACCUACCUAUAAGACUGGGAUAACUUCGGGAAACCGGAGCUAAUACCGGAUAAUAUUUUGAACCGCAUGGUUCAAAAGUGAAAGACGGUCUUGCUGUCACUUAUAGAUGGAUCCGCGCUGCAUUAGCUAGUUGGUAAGUUAACGGCUUACCAAGGCAACGAUGCAUAGCCGACCUGAGAGAGUGAUAGGCCACACUGGAACUGAGACACGGUCCAGACUCCUAAGGGAGGCAGCAGUAGGGAAUCUUCCGCAAUGGGCGAAAGCCUGACGGAGCAACGGCGCGUGAGUGAUGGAGGUCUUCGGAUCGUAAAACUCUGUUAUUAGGGAAGAACAUAUGUGUAACUAACUGUGCACAUCUUGACGGUACCUAAUCAGAAAGCCACGGCUAACUACGUG
rnacentral:rRNA from 1 species